rnacentral:rRNA from 1 species
CGACCUCAGGUCAGGCGGGGCCACCCGCUGAGUUUAAGCAUAUCAAUAAGCGAGAGAGAUAA